rnacentral:rRNA from 1 species
CCCACCAAGACAACGAUGGAUAGGGGUUCUGAGAGGAAGGUCCCCCACAUUGGAACUGAGACACGGUCCAAACUCCUACGGGAGGCAGCAGUGAGGAAUAUUGGUCAAUGGACGAGAGUCUGAACCAGCCAAGUAGCGUGAAGGAUGACUGCCCUAUGGGUUGUAAACUUCUUUUAUAUGGGAAUAAAACGUUCCACGUGUGGAAUUUUGUAUGUACCAUAUGAAUAAGGAUCGGCUAACUCCGUGCCAGCAGCCGCGGUAAUACGGAGGAUCCGAGCGUUAUCCGGAUUUAUUGGGUUUAAAGGGAGCGUAGGUGGAUUGUUAAGUCAGUUGUGAAAGUUUGCGGCUCAACCGUAAAAUUGCAGUUGAAACUGGCAGUCUUGAGUACAGUAGAGGUGGGCGGAAUUCGUGGUGUAGCGGUGAAAUGCUUAGAUAUCACGAAGAACUCCGAUUGCGAAGGCAGCUCACUGGACUGCAACUGACACUGAGGCUCGAAAGUGUGGGUAUCAAACAGGAUUAGAUACCCUGGUAGUCCACA